GCGCACGGGUGAGUAACGCGUGGAUAAUCUACCCUUAAGUUGGGAAUAACGUACCGAAAGGUGCGCUAAUACCGAAUAAUACUGCAUAACUACUGUUGUGUAGUCAAAGAAGGCCUCUGUUUACAAGCUUUUGCUGAAGGAUGAGUCCGCGUACCAUUAGCUAGUUGGUAGGGUAAUGGCCUACCAAGGCGACGAUGGUUAGCUGGUCUGAGAGGAUGAUCAGCCACACUGGAACUGAGACACGGUCCAGACUCCUACGGGAGGCAGCAGUGAGGAAUAUUGCGCAAUGGGGGCAACCCUGACGCAGCAACGCCGCGUGAGUGAGGAAGGUUUUCGGAUCGUAAAGCUCUGUCGAGCGGGAAGAAAUGCAUGGUGGCUAAUAUCCAUUAUGCUUGACGGUACCGCUAAAGGAAGCACCGGCUAACUCCGUGCCAGCAGCCGCGGUAAUACGGGGGGUGCUAGCGUUGUUCGGAAUUAUUGCGCGUAAAGAGCGUGUAGGCGGCUGAAUAAGUCAGAUGUGAAAGCCCUGGGCUUAACCCAGGAAGUGCAUUUGAAACUAUUCGGCUUGAGUAGGGGAGAGGAAAGUGGAAUUCCUGGUGUAGAGGUGAAAUUCGUAGAUAUCAGGAGGAACACCGAUGGCGAAGGCGACUUUCUGGCCCUAUACUGACGCUGAGACGCGAGAGCGUGGGUAGCAAACAGGAUUAGAUACCCUGGUAGUCCACGCUGUAAACGAUGUCAACUGGCUGUUGGGUGCGAGAGUACUCAGUAGCGAAGCUAACGCGUGAAGUUGACCGCCUGGGGAGUACGGCCGCAAGGUUG
rnacentral:rRNA from 1 species